UUGACAUUAAUCAAAUAUUUCACUGAAGAGUAUUUCCACACCUGGGUUGUUUCCACACCUGAUUUAAUGUUUUUAGCUAGAGUUAAAACCAAUCUGCAGAUUUAUGAAAUA